GAUCGUAUAUCGAACUCGAGUUUCUAUUCUCGUAACUCGCACCUUACAAACAGCCAUCUAACUGCGCGUGUUUUAUAUAAAAAGAAAAAAAUGUGUUUCUUAAUGAUUAUGUGUCAUUCCUAAUUAACGUAUACGAGUAGUUUGCAUCUUUGUUCAAAGGAGGAGCUUCGAAACGUGUCUACACGUGUAAUUGCAAGAUACGAUCCUACUCCCUUUCUUCUCUGUCUGCGACUCCCUCGUCCCACUGGAGAAGGAUUAUGGCCCUGUGCAGUAUCCAGCCAUUCAGCCGGUAGUUUUUGCCUGUCGACUUAACGAACCUACCACUCCGUUCCAGUUUCAUUCAACCCAAGUUUUUGCUUCAACGACAAUCGUUCGAAUUACGAGACCAUUUAGGAUGAAUGAAAGAUGCACCGAGUGUGUACCACACUUCAAACGAAAUUAUCAAACAACUGAUUUUGAAAUAUAGAAAAUCUAAUAUUUUAUAAAAAUAUUACAAAACAGCGCUUAAAUAAUUUUCUGAUCUGAAACGCUAUUUAUUUAACAAGUUAAGUAUUUUAUAUAAAAAUACUAUUAUUUUUUGAUUUUAUCUUGUUGAAUAUAUAAAACUCUAACGUUCUUCCUGUGUGAAUCAAAAUGCAUAAAAGACGAGAAGGUCCUCGAGGUAUCUUGUCCUUCGACGAAGCUGAAGAGUCAAUCGGUUCUGUCUACCUGACGAAGCGGAAACGGCUAUUUAUAACCACGAAUGCUUCUUGAAUUCUUAUACACUUUGUAAAAAGGGCCAGAUGGAAAUGCCUGGCAUUCACGAUGCCUGUACCUUUCCAUUCCUAUUCAUGUUAAUGCUAAUUUAAUUAACAUUUGUGUUUAGGAAAUUAAAAAUGAUAGAAAAUACCGGAGGCUUAAAAAUAAUUCAAUUUUUUAAUAAAAACACUUUUGAGUGGAAGGAACCGACCUACAUGUUACCAACAAGUGGUUACGCUAAUAAAGAACUCUCGAAUGUUUAGGGUCGUCGCAUCGAGGCAUUUAAUAUUUCCGUGAAUGGUAAACGAUCAGUCGGAGGGAUCUCAUCCAGCUACACAGAUAAGGCAAGACCUUGCUUUCCUGAACAAGGACACCGGUCGUCUUACCAUGUAGACAACAUACCGUUCUAGCCAGUACAGCUGUUCCACUUUCAUAUGCAACGAGAACGGUGCACUUGGCCUAAAACGUAAGUGCCUCGUGUGUAACCAACACUCGCAGAUGUGAAAACUAUGGCAAAUGUAAAUUCAUCGGAUAGUUUCUUUCCAUUGGUAGCUUUCUUCCGAAGGAUUGCACUUCCACGCGAAUCACUCCGAUAGGAGGACAAUGCGAUUGUGAGAACGGAAAUCCAGAACGAUACUAAUGGAAUAUGGGAUUAUAUUUAAAAAAAAAAACAGCCAAUUCUUUUGAAAUAUUUGAAUGAAUCCUUCUGAAAAUGCAUGGAGGAAAAUUGGUGCCAAUUUUCAGAAAAGAAAAAUAACGGUCCCGGGCCUCUAAAGACCCAUCGACUUUGGUGACAGAGUUAGGCCUUUUAUUUAGAGAGCAGUGCCUCUCAAGAGAUUCAU